rnacentral:rRNA from 1 species
UCCCUACGGGACGCAGCAGUGGGGAAUAUUGCACAAUGGGGGAAACCCUGAUGCAGCGACGCCGCGUGAGUGAAGAAGUAUUUCGGUAUGUAAAGCUCUAUCAGCAGGGAAGAAGCAAGACGGUACCUGACUAAGAAGCCCCGGCUAACUACGUGCCAGCAGCCGCGGUAAUACGUAGGGGGCAAGCGUUAUCCGGAUUUACUGGGUGUAAAGGGGGCGCAGACGGCGAUGCAAGCCAGGAGUGAAAGCCCGGGGCCCAACCCCGGGACUGCUCUUGGAACUGCGUGGCUGGAGUGCAGGAGGGG